GGGUGACUACUCCCUCACCUCGGCCAAUCGGAGCAAUGCGCGGACAAAUUUGAAAUAAAACACCGGCACAGAUUUGAAUAAAAGUCAUUUCAAAAACAACGAUGAGUACGGCAAAAUGUCAUAAGACUAUUUCAAUUCCUCUCGAUAAGGCCUCCGAAGAAAGCCUACGCGUUGAAGCUGUAUCUAUCACCAAUGUCAAGAAAAUGAUCUAGAUUUGCAAGCUCUGAAACUUCAGGGGUUUUCUAAGAAUUUUCCAAAAUAUAUAAAAUUCCAGUAUAAUUCCAAGAUUCAAGGACAUUCAAGGACCGCUGGACAUCAUGACUUAGUGAUCACAUACGCGUGUGCAUGUCAUUAUAUAAUUAAAGAUGCGUUCCAAGUUUUGCGCUUAUAGCGCUUGUAAAUAUCAUUUGGCCUUACAGAACGUACCCUACAUAAUACGACGAUGGAAUAGAUUUCACGUUUAUGUAAAAAAUAAAAUUUGUGUAAAAAAAAAU